CUUGACAUACAUAAGAGGUCCAGCCUGCCCAGUGACUAAGUUCAACGGCCGCGGUAUCCUAACCGUGCGAAGGUAGCGUAAUCACUUGUUCUUUAAAUGAGGACUAGUAUGAAUGGCACCACGAGGGUUAUACUGUCUCCUUUUUUUAAUCAAUGAAACUGAUCUCCCCGUGAAGAAGCGGGGAUAAAUUUAUAAGACGAGAAGACCCUAUGGAGCUUUAAACAAUUAUAGCACUGGCCCACACCUCUUAUUCUUCUGAGAUAUAAUUAUCAUAUAGGCCAACAUGACUAUUAGUUUUAGGUUGGGGUGACCGCGGAGCAAAAAUUAACCUCCACGUUGAACGGAGCUACUCCUGAGCUAAAAACUACAACUUUAAGCACCAAUAAACUGACAUCAAUUGACCCAAUAUAUUGAACAACGAAC
rnacentral:rRNA from 1 species